rnacentral:rRNA from 1 species
AGAACGAACGCUGGCGGCAGGCCUAACACAUGCAAGUCGAACGCCCCGCAAGGGGAGUGGCAGACGGGUGAGUAACACGUGGGAACAUACCCUUCGGUUCGGAAUAACUCAGGGAAACUUGAGCUAAUACCGGAUACGUCCGCGAGGAGAAAGAUUCAUCGCCGGAGGAUUGGCCCGCGUCCGAUUAGCUAGUUGGUGAGGUAACGGCUCACCAAGGCGACGAUCGGUAGCUGGUCUGAGAGGAUGAUCAGCCACAUUGGGACUGAGACACGGCCCAAACUCCUACGGGAGGCAGCAGUGGGGAAUAUUGGACAAUGGGCGAAAGCCUGAUCCAGCCAUGCCGCGUGAGUGAUGAAGGCCCUAGGGUUGUAAAGCUCUUUCGUCAGGGACGAUAAUGACGGUACCUGAAGAAGAAGCCCCGGCUAACUUCGUGCCAGCAGCCGC